rnacentral:rRNA from 2 species
GAUGAACGCUGGCGGCGCGCCUAACACAUGCAAGUCGAACGGUUAAAGCACCUUUUAGGUGUGUAUAAAGUGGCGAACGGCUGAGUAACACGUGGGCAACCUGCCCUCCUCUUGGGGAUAGCCUCGGGAAACCGAGGAUAAUACCCGAUACUUCAAUGUGGCCGCAUGACGACAUUGAGAAAGCUUUUGCGGAGAAGGAUGGGCCCGCGGCCUGUUAGCUUGUUGGUGGGGUAGAGGCCUACCAAGGCAAUGAUGGGUAGCUGGGUUGAGAGACCGACCAGCCAGAUUGGGACUGAGACACGGCCCAGACUCCUACGGGAGGCAGCAGUGGGGAAUCUUGCACAAUGGGCGAAAGCCUGAUGCAGCGACGCCGCGUGCGGGAAGAAGGCCUUCGGGUUGUAAACCGCUUUCAGCAGGGACGAGGCGAAAGUGACGGUACCUGCAGAAGAAGCCCCG